rnacentral:rRNA from 1 species
CCUACGGGCGGCAGCAGUGAGGAAUAUUGGUCAAUGGCCGGAAGGCUGAACCAGCCAUGCCGCGUGAAGGUCAGUGCCCUAUGGGCGUUAAACUUCUUUUGUGCGGGAGCAAUAAUGGUCACGUGUGGCCAGACGAGAGUACCGUACGAAUAAGCAUCGGCUAACUCCGUGCCAGCAGCCGCGGUAAUACGGGGGAUGCAAGCGUUAUCCGGAUUUAUUGGGUUUAAAGGGUUCGUAGGCUGUGAGGUAAGUCAGCGGUGAAAUGCCCCCGCUCAACGGGGUGAAGUGCCAUUGAUACUGCCUUGCUGGAAUGCGGAUGCCGUGGGAGGAAUGUGUGGUGUAGCGGUGAAAGGCAUAGAUAUCACACAGAACACCGAGUGCGAAGGCAUCUCACGAAUCCGCGAUUGACGCUGAUGCACGAAAGCGUGGGUAUCAAACAGGAUUAGAUACCCCUGUAGUC